rnacentral:rRNA from 1 species
UACGUAGGGUGCGAGCGUUAAUCGGAAUUACUGGGCGUAAAGCGCACGUAGGCGGUCCAGCAAGUCGGGUGUGAAAGCCCGGGGCUCAACCCUGGAAGUGCAUUCGAAACUGCUGGACUUGAGCACCGGAGAGGGUGGCGGAAUUCCCGGUGUAGAGGUGAAAUUCGUAGAUAUCGGGAGGAACACCAGUGGCGAAGGCGGCCACCUGGACGGAUACUGACGCUGAGGUGCGAAAGCGUGGGGAGCAAACAGG